AAGUAAUGCAAGUCGAACGGGAUUUUUUUCUGUAGCAAUACAGAGAAAAGUCUAGUGGCGAACGGGUGCGUAACACGUGAGCAACCUGCCGUGAAGUGGGGGAUAGCUCGCCGAAAGGCGAAUUAAUACCGCAUGUGGCCAAGGAAGACAUCUUCCUGACGCCAAAGCCGGGGUAACCUGGCGCUUCUCGAGGGGCUCGCGGCCUAUCAGCUUGUUGGUGAGGUAACGGCUCACCAAGGCUAUGACGGGUAGCUGGUCUGAGAGGACGACCAGCCACACUGGAACUGAGACACGGUCCAGACACCUACGGGUGGCAGCAGUCGAGAAUUUUUCACAAUGGGGGAAACCCUGAUGGAGCGACGCCGCGUGGAGGAUGAAGGUUUUCGGAUCGUAAACUCCUGUCAUUAGAGAACAAGGCACACGGUUUAACUGGCUGUGUGUUGAUAGUAUCUGAAGAGGAAGGGACGGCUAACUCUGUGCCAGCAGCCGCGGUAAUACAGAGGUCUCAAGCGUUGUUCGGAUUCAUUGGGCGUAAAGGGUGCGUAGGUGGCGAGGUAAGUCGGAUGUGAAAUCUCCAAGCUCAACUUGGAAACUGCAUUCGAUACUGCUUUGCUAGAGGAUUGUAGAGGGCAUUGGAAUUCACGGUGUAGCAGUGAAAUGCGUAGAUAUCGUGAGGAAGACCAGUGCGAAGGCGAAUGCCUGGGCAUUUCCUGACACUGAGCACGAGGCAGGGGAGCAAACGGAUAGAUACCCCGUAGUCCUGC
rnacentral:rRNA from 1 species